CAAUAGCGUAUAUUAAAGUUGUUGCGGUUAAAAAGCUCGUAGUUGGAUUUCUGCCGAGGACGACCGGUCCGCCCUCCGGGUGAGUAUCUGGUCUGGCCUGGGCAUCUUCUUGGAGAACGUAGCUGCACUUGACUGUGUGGAGCGCUACCCAGGACUUUUACUUUGAGGAAAUUAGAGUGUUCCAAGCAGGCAUACGCCUUGAAUACAUUAGCAUGGAAUAAUAAGAUAGGACCUCGGUUCUAUUUUGUUGGUUUCUAGAGCUGAGGUAAUGAUUAAUAGGGAUAGUUGGGGGCAUUCGUAUUUAACUGUCAGAGGUGAAAUUCUUGGAUUUGUUAAAGACGGACUACUGCGAAGCAUUUGCCAAGGAUGUUUUCAUUGA
rnacentral:rRNA from 1 species